UACGUAGGGGGCGAGCGUUGUCCGGAUUUAUUGGGCGUAAAGAGCGUGUAGGCGGCCAGGUAGGUCUGCUGUGAAAACUCGAGGCUCAACCUCGAGACGUCGGCGGAAACCAUCUGGCUAGAGUCCGGAAGAGGAGAGUGGAAUUCCUGGUGUAGCGGUGAAAUGCGUAGAUAUCGGGAGGAACACCAGUGGCGAAGGCGACUACCUGGCCUGUUCUUGACGCUGAGGAGCGAAAGCUAGGGGAGCAAACGGG
rnacentral:rRNA from 1 species